rnacentral:lncRNA from 1 species
UGCCAGCUUCUAGAAAGUCCUGGAGGGAAGAGGUUUAGUGUUCAGGAUCCAUUGCUUUCACUCUGCCCACAAGGUCUUGGGCCAGCCAUGGGCCCUGUCACCCUCCUUCCUGUGCUGCCUGGUCUGGGAACCUGGCUGGACUUGCAGGGAUUUGCUCUUUGGACUUCUUUCUAACCUUAUCUUUUCCUGCCAUCCCCUUACCCCCUCCACUGCUGGGUUACAGAUUGUCCUGCCAGUUGUGUUUGUCUGCAUUGCCCUGCUGUUCAGCCUGAUUGUGCCACCCUUUGGUAAGUACCCUAGCCUGGAACUUUAGCCCUGGAUGUACAAUGAGCAGUGUACGUUUGUCAGGUACGUGUUUGUCUUCUGAGCCCAGGGGAGAGGAGGAUUCAAGUAGAUCAAGGGUGAUCACUGUGCUGAGGGUCAAAAGAAUAGAGUCAAGAAUUGCACAGUGGAAGGGGUUUUACCAGCUGUGGCUCAGGCCCCUAUGCAAGCUACUACUGCAUGCAAAGAAUAGAGAACUACUGAAAUAACAGUCUAGUUUUCUGGUGAGUACUUCAGUCAAUAUCUCUAACUGCUGUUUGAUGAACCCAGCCUAAUUCCAUUUUAAGAUUAGGAGCCAUCUCAUCACAAAGUCAUGGAAAGUUAAUUUCUGUUUUACUAUAAAUUACUGCGAUUUCUAAACUUGUUUGGAAUUUCUGCCCAUGCCUUGAACUUACCCAUGCCUGGCUUUCCCUGACCAGAUAACAACACUCUCUAAAACCUUAGUGGCACCUCGUAAAUCCUGGCUCCCCAUGACCAGAUAACAACCCUCUCUGAAACCUCAGUGGCGCCUUAUAAAUUUUGAUGUUGGGAUCUAAAUUUUUUCCCUACCUUGAAAUGUUAAGCCAGGUAGAUCAUUAACCUACUAUAUGCCUUUGUAUUAUGCUUGUCGAAAUCCUUUUAUCUGUAAGUUAACAACCCCUCUUUGCAACUUUUUGUGCUAUAAAACUAUGUUCCUAGAGAGCUGGGGUACUGAUUUCUAGUCCAGAGUUUUGGGAGAGACAGUCCUGGCUAGCUACUGUGUACACAAAUAUAAGCUUGCUUUAAAUUGAUUGAAAGUUGGAGUCAGUGGUCUUUUCUUUCCGUCGUGGUUUAAUACUGUUGUGGGGAACAACCAUAUGUGCCUUAGGUAAAGUAAUCUGCCCUCAAUAAAAAUCUAUGAUUAUUAAAUUUUUAGAAAUGUGCUUUAAUUUCAUGUUCAUCACAGGGCUUUCCUACACUGCAUAAAUUUCCAC